CAGCUAGUUGGUGAGGUAAUGGCUCACCAAGGCUGUGAUCGUUAGCUGGUCUGAGAGGAUGGCCAGCCACACUGGAACUGAGACACGGUCCAGACUCCUACGGGAGGCAGCAGUGGGGAAUCUUGCACAAUGGGCGAAAGCCUGAUGCAGCGACGCCGCGUGGGGGAUGAAGCUUUUCGGAGUGUAAACCCCUUUCGACCCGGACGAAUGCCUCGCAAGAGGACUGACGGUACGGGUAUAAGAAGCCCCGGCUAACUACGUGCCAGCAGCCGCGGUAAGACGUAGGGGGCCAGCGUUGUCCGGAAUUAUUGGGCGUAAAGAGCUCGUAGGCGGUGUGUCGCGUCGGUCGUGAAAACUUGGGGCUUAACCCUGAGCUUGCGGUCGAUACGGGCAUCACUGGAGUUCGGCAGGGGAGACUGGAAUUCCUGGUGUAGCGGUGAAAUGCGCAGAUAUCAGGAGGAACACCGGUGGCGAAGGCGGGUCUCUGGGCCGAUACUGACGCUGAGGAGCGAAAGCGUGGGGAGCGAACAGGAUUAGAUACCCUGGUAGUCCACGCCGUAAACGGUGGGCGCUAGGUGUGGGGGCCAUUCCACGGUCUCUGUGCCGCAGCUAACGCAUUAAGCGCCCCGC
rnacentral:rRNA from 1 species